rnacentral:rRNA from 1 species
GACGUAGGAUGCAAGCGUUGUCCGGAUUUAUUGGGCGUAAAGAGUUCGUAGGCGGUUCGUUAAGUCUGAUGUUAAAGAUCGGGGCUCAACCCCGGGAGUGCAUUGGAUACUGGCGGACUGGAGUGUGGUAGAGGCUAGUGGAAUUCCCAGUGUAGCGGUGAAAUGCGUAGAUAUUGGGAAGAACACCAGUGGCGUAGGCGACUAGCUGGGCCAUAACUGACGCUGAGGAACGAAAGCCAGGGGAGCGAAUGGG